rnacentral:rRNA from 1 species
UACGAGGGGUGCAAGCGUUAUUCGGAAUAACUGGGCGUAAAGAGCGCGUAGGCGGUUCUUUAAGUCUGUCGUUAAAUUGCCCGGCUUAACCGGGCGCAAGCGAUAGAAACUGGAGAGCUAGAGGACAAGAGAGAGGAGUGGAAUUCUCGGAGUAGCGGUAAAAUGCGUAGAUCUCGAGAGGAACACCAAUGGCGAAGGCAGCUCCUUGGCUUGUACCUGACGCUCAAGUGCGAAAGCGUGGGGAGCAAACAGG